ACACUUGCCUGGAAGGGGAGACACCAUGAUCAAGAAGGUGGUCCAGGGCGAGGCUCGGCCAUUGCACUCUGGCUGUGCUUACUCCUGCCAAUUCCCCAAAUGUGGGAAUCUUAACUGCAUGAUUAAUGGUAGUGGGGGACUGCGUUUGCGCUCUCCCCUG